GCCUGCUUAGCUCAGCUGGCUAGAGUGCACAAGAACCUUAUCUCUCCUUUUCUCUGGACUUGUGAGGCCGCGAGUUCGAUUCUCGCAGUGGGUA